AGCAGUGUUAGUGGAGGUGUGCUGUGCAGCAGUGUUAGUGGAGGUGCUGCUGUGCAGCAGUGUUAGUGGAGGUGCUGCUGUGCAGCGGUGUUAGUGGAGGUGCUCUGUGUGCAGCAGUGUUAGUGGAGGUGCUCUGUGCAGCAGUGUUAGUGGAGGUGUGCUGUGCAGCAGUGUUAGUGGAGGUGCUGCUGUGCAGCAGUGUUAGUGGAGGUGCUGCUGUGCAGCGGUGUUAGUGGAGUGUGUUAGUGGAGGUGCUCUGUGCAGCAGGUUAGUGGAGGUGUGUUAGUGGGAGUGCUGCUGUGCAGCAGUGUUAGUGGAGGUGUGCUGUGCAGCAGUGUUAGUGGAGGUGCUGCUGUGCAGCAGUGUUAGUGGAGGUGCUGCUGUGCAGCGGUGUUAGUGGAGGUGCUGCUGUGCAGCCGGUGUUAGUGGAGGUGCUGCUGUGCAGCAGUGUUAGUGGAGGUGUGCUGUGCAGCAGUGUUAGUGGAGGUGCUCUGUGCAGCAGUGUUAGUGGAGGUGCUGCUGUUGCAGCAGUGUUAGUGGAGGUGCUCUGUGCAGCAGUUGUUAGUGGAGGUGUGU